rnacentral:lncRNA from 1 species
CAAUGCAAUUUUUACAGUGUGUUGUACUACUUUUGGGACAAAUUAUAUCAAAAUUAUAGAAAACUUCAUCGGCUCUAACUAAAAAUAUGGACAAUUUUCUUUAGGCGUCUUGAAAAUCUUCGAAGUGCUAGUUUUGAACCUUUUUCAGCUGGACCAAAUCACUACUUUCCUUUAAAAUUCUGAACCCAACUUUUAUUACAGUGUAAUUUCAC